rnacentral:rRNA from 1 species
UGCUCUAAGGAGGUUAGCGGCGGACGCUUUGAGUGACUCGUGGGUAACCUGCCCAUAAGACUGGGAUAACUCCGGUAAACCGGUGCUAAUACCGGAUAACAUUUUGAACCGCAUGGUUCGAAAUUGAAAGGCGGCUUCGGCUGUCACUUAUGGAUGGACCCGCGUCGCAUUAGCUAGUUGGUGAGGUAACGGCUCACCAAGGCAACGAUGCGUAGCCCACCUGAGAGGGUGAUCGGCCACACUGGGACUGAGACACGGCCCAGACUCCUACGGGAGGCAGCAGUAGGGAAUCUUCCGCAAUGGACGAAAGUCUGACGGAGCAACGCCGCGUGAGUGAUGAAGGCUUUCGGGUCGUAAAACUCUGUUGUUAGGGAAGAACAAGUGCUAGUUGAAUAAGCUGGCACCUUGACGGUACCUAACCAGAAAGCCGGGCUAACUACGUGCCACAGCCGCGUAAUACGUAGGUGGCAAGCGUUAUCCGGAAUUAUUGCCCGUAAAGCGCGCGCACCCGUUUCUUACUCUGAUGUGAAACCCACGGCUCACCGUGGAGGGUCAUUGGAAACUGGGUAAACUUACAGCGCUAGAAGAGGCAAGAAAGCCUUUUCCACUGUGUAGCGGUGAA